GCUGGGCAUGGUGGCGCACACCUGCAAUUCUAGUGGCUUGGGAGGCUGAGGCAGGAGAAUCAUGAGCUCAAAGCCAGCCUCAGCAAUGGCGAGGCACUAAGCAACUCAGUGAGACCCUGUCUCUA
rnacentral:sRNA from 1 species